AUAAAAAAACAUGAUUGGGUGACUGUGAAUUAUGAUAAAAAUGAAAACGUAUCACGUUACGUUUCUUUUAUUACAAAAGAAGAAGAAAAGCAGAGCCAUCCUACAUUAAGUAUGGGAAAAAGAUUGAUAAAUGGGCAGAUAACUCAAUGUUACCAUAAAACUUUCCCCUCCAAAGCGUUACCCAACCUAUUGUACCUGUCCUAAACGACCACCUGUCUAACGCAACCAACGAUCAUGAAAUUUACAACCUUUUCGUGUGAUUUCACAUUUAUGAAACGACUGUACAUUUUUUCGAUUACAACACGAAUCCUACUUUUGAUUUCAGUCGAGCAUGACUAUUCUGGGAAUUAUCGCCCCUAACACUUGCGUUUUAAAAUGCACAGGUAAUAGUUCGGCGGUGAUCUUGUUUAAUCGGCACUCUGAAUCAAUUAUUAUACCCAAGCUAUCAAUUGGUUAAUGUGUAAUUAACAUGAAGCAUCGUGUGAGGUUAAUUACCAAAACCUGAGUUGUUUAUUUAACAAAAUCAAGGAUCAGGGAAUCAAGACCAUCGUUUCCGAAGGUGUGAAUUUCAACAGACUUUGAUAUGUGCAUGGUAAUUCGGAUAUGAAAUCUCCCACCUCGUAUACCAUUACGUUUAACAGAGUGGAAAAUUUGCCUGAUUGUGAUAUAAAUCAGGUAAAUAUUGUGCUUGGGACUGAAAUUUUUAAAUCAGGUAAAUAUUAUGUUUGGGACUGAAAUUUUAAAUGAAAUAUUCGCAAAUUUCCUGUACGAGAGAUUGUAGGGGGAAAAGUCAAAGGAAAAAAGUCAAUCUAUGCAUACACUUUGUAAUUUAAGGAAAUAUCUAUGUCUUGCACUUAAGUUGCGAGAAAACCCAACUCGUUGAAAAGUUCUUCUCUAUUGCUUGCUUGAAUUGGCCGCUAUACAAUGCCAUUUUAUGUAACUGAUGUAAUUAGACACGUCUUUUAAAAGCAAUAAAGAGAGUAACAAUAUAUGUGAAUUUAAAUUUGAAGUGGUAUAAUAUAUUCAUAUUUUAUUUAGUUUUAUAUCAUUUAUAAAAAAGCCAACUUCUUGUUAUUUCAACAAUUAACAAGCACCCAGAUCAUGACAUGAGUAAAAAGGACAUGGACAUCUAGUCCAGAAAUGAUACGACAAUAUCCCACAUCAUUAGUCUAGUGAAACUGUUUGUUUAUAAUAAGCAAACAGAGCUAGGUUUCUACAACUCACGUUUCCAGAGUAUACAAAAUUAAUUGUAUUUUUUCUUUCAUUUUAUAUGCUGAGAUCAUCCUUUUUUCUCCCUACCAAAACUGCAUUUGAAACCAAAAUAUGUAAAAAAAAUUCUGCAAUGAUUGCUACCUUAAUCUUCGAUGAAACAACAAAGAAAGACAUUUUAUUUUUUAUAUUUUUAUGCAUUUUUAAAAAAUAUAAUUAAAACUAGAAUUAAGUUCUAAAAUAUCAUAUGGUUGAUCCAUUUGUUACAUUAAAUGAAACAGUCAAUACCCCAUUUGACCAAUUGACUUGGUAAAGAUUAUGCAGACAGGUGGUACUAGAAAACGAAUCAAGCUAGUUUGCAACAAACAUGUAUUCAUUGCAUGUUGAAAACAAUGCAAAUUUCAAAAGAAAUAUAUGAGAAAAGAUUCAGUGAAUGUAAAUAUAUAGGAUUAAAACCAAUUUAAACUUCUUGAAACUAAACUCUACCUUUAAAGGAAAAUCUUAAUAUACAGGCGAUUUCAGUAUUGAAUUCUAUAUCUUAUUUGUAUGGAUGGUGGUGGCAGAGGAGAAUCUAAUUGUAUGGGUGGUGGUAGCAGAGGAAAAUUUAAUUGUAUGGGUGGCUGUCUUAAAAAUAAAGUGCCUUCCCUCCCCUCCAUAGUUUUGUUGUUGGAAUAGCCCUUACUAUUUUUCUACUGUAUGUUUUUCUUCUAGAUAUUAUUAUUCUUUUCCUUGAUAAUCCUCUCAAUUUUUUUCAGCCAUUUCUUGAUUGAUUUUGAUGAAAUUUUCAGAAAAGAUGUCUUUUGGUGAAGAGACUUUGCAUGCUAAAUUGUGAGACACUUCCGGUCGGGAGUUAUCUCCCUUUCAAUGAGUUUUUGGAUGCCCAACUGGUCUAGCCCCUCAACUUUUUGAUCUAGUAUAGAGCUGCCGUCCAAAGGUGUGUGUGUGUGAAUGGGUGACAGUCAGAAUCCUAAGAUGUGAUAUAUAGAGAACUUUUAAGCUUCCACAGCUGAUGACACAUUUAGAAAUCGUCAAGAUAACUUGGGUUGCCUGCUUACAUUGAGCGCGCUGUGGUAAACUUAUGAUAUACAGUAAAACUUAAAACCACUCUUUUCUUUUUGUGGCAAUUUUCUGGGUCCCUUUAUGCAUUUCUCAGCUCGUCAUUCGCAGAUAAUGGAUAUCAAUAAAUUUUUCCUCAUAAAAUAUUAAAACGAGUAGUGCAUUGCGAAAGUGUCAAACUAAUGUAGAAAGAAUAAGAAUUGCUAAAGAGUUUACAAUACUGUAUUAACCCCUUCUCUAGCGUACCGGUCAAUUUGACCGGUGGCGCAUAAAAACAGAACAGCACAAAAGGAGUGCCUCUAAAUCUUUCAAACUACGGUCAUAAGAUAUAUGAUCUAUAUAUCAUAUUUUUGGAAAUUUUCUCUAUUUUUUAACUAUGUAAAAAUUAGUUAAGUUAAUAAAGCCAUUAAAUUAAUAAAAGCAUUUAAAGCGAAAGAUGGCUUCGUCUAAAUAUGAUGCAACGCUUUGUCGAUACGAUUUUUUUAAUCUCCCGUAUGAAUGCAUUAUUUUUUAUACGCCCAUCUUAAGACGGGCCGUAUUAUGUUAUGGCCUUCAUGUCCGUCCGUCCGUCUGUCCGUCCGUCCGUCUGUUAGCUUUUUCGUGUCCGGCUCAUAACUUAAAUACUAUAAGGCCUAGAAUAAUCAAACUUUGUCAGUUGAUACAUCUUGGGUAGAAGGUGUGUCGCACAUUACAACCAGGUCGCUGUGACUUUUAAUUAAGAAGAUAUGGCCAAAUAUGGUAAAACCCUGUCCGGCUCAUAACUUGAAAACUAUUUGAUCUAGAAUCAUGAAACUUGGUCAUCUUAUGCAUCUUAGGUAGAAGGUGUGUCGCACUGUACUUUAAGGUCACUAUGACAUUUAGUUGAAGUGAUUUUUUGAAAAAAGUAUGUUAUAAUUGGUACAAUCCCUACUCAUAUAAGAGUUUUGUAGAAAACCUCAUUCAAAAAUGUUACAUCAAGAAAACACAUAUUUUUUUUAUGAUAUACUGUACAGCUUUUUUUUAGCCUAUGUAAUGUUUCCUUUGUUUCUAACAAUAACAUGAGAAAUUCCACUUGUCCCAUGGGAGUAGCAUGCAAAGGGCAUUUUGACAAGACUAAUUAAUGAGUUUUGUGUAGAGCAUCUCUGAUCAACAUGAUCAAGCAGGUGUUAUCUUUAUCUCUAGGGAAUUGGGCAGAGAGAUCUUAGCCUCUUAAUUGCAGAUAUACCAGAAAUUAUUUGUGAAAGUGAAUUUGUUUGUUGUGGUUAGUCUUUAUUUUCAAAAUUAAUUUGACAUUGUACUAUAUAAUUUUUAAUUUUUUUUCUCAGCAACCUAUAUGCAGAGUAUCAUUUCUCACUAAGACAACAAAUGGUUGCAAUAUGUAUAAAGGCCUAUUUUAAUGAUUAGUAUUUUGAUGUUUUGUUAUGGCUGUGGCAUUGUUCAGAAAAAAGAUAUACAAUGAACAAAGCUGCAGAUUGGGCAUUUGUGUAAAUCUGAACAGAUGAAAUAGUAUUGCAAUAACCAUAUUAAAAAAUGUUAAUUCAAGAAACUACACAAUCUUCAUUAUAUACACUGUACUAUACAGCAGUAUAUAACAAACAAAUUAUUUCUUUUGUGUCAGUAACAAGAGAAAUUUCCCUUGUCCCAUGGGUGUAAUUAUCAAGCAAUUCAGGAGGCAUUUUGCUAACAGAAAAAUUGCAUUCUGUCAAAUUACAGAUUAAUUAAUGAGUUUAGAAGAUUUCUGUUACAGCAAUCUGAUCAAGGAGGUGCUAUCUAUAUCUCUUGCAAUCGGGAAUUGGGCAGAGGAAUCUGGCCUUCUAAUUGAUCUGUCAAAUUUUAGAACAGUUCUAAUUGGUAGCCAUUACUUUGAAAGUUAAUUUGGUAUAAAGUUUAAGAAUUAAUAUGAUAUUGUAAAAUAUAUUUUUAUUUUAUAUCUCAACAACAAGGUGCAGAUUGUCAUGUCUCACUAAGAUGACAGUUUUACAGUCUAAGAAUAAACAUAAUGACUAAUGUUUGAUGUUUUAUUACGCUGUGCAUUGUUCUUCAUUCCUUAAAAUACAAUGAGCAAAGCUGCAGAUGUGCAUUGUUUGCUUGGAUAAAGGGCUAUCUUGCACUUUAAUCAUUUCAUUGAAAACAUUUGGGAAAAUGUUUUUAUAUCCUUUUAAAAAUCAUUAAGCUUACAUUAUCAAUAUUUGAAGCAAUGUCACAUGAGGCCAUAAAGUGGGUAAGAUUCUUAAAGGAAGGUUGACAUUUGGUUCCAUGCAUACCUAUCUCUUCAUGGUGAUAUGUUCAUGUUAACAAUAUGUGAUGGGCGUAUCAUGUGCCGUGGCGGUGCACUUUAUUAUAUUUUUGAAAAGCAUAUAUUCCCUGCUUUCAGAACAUAUAAAAAUUAUUUCUAAUGCCUGGCAAAGUUAUAAGAAAAUAGCUAUUUUUUUGCACAUGUACGCUUUCUUACAAUUUUAUUUCUCAAUGUUUAAACAGAUCAGCGUUUUACCAAUAUUCAUAUAUGGAAAUAGGGAAAAGUAAAUACAGCCUGUAAAAGUAGAGGAAAUUUUCUUUUUGAUGGGCCCUUCGUGUUGUAAUUCUUCGUAGUUUUUAUAUUAUGAUAAAAUGAAAUUGGGACAUGCUGCGCGGUUUUCUUUAAAAUUAGCGACAAAAUGUCGGCGCUGAAAGCGAUCGACGCGCAUCGCACAAUAAAGUAAUGAAAACUAUUUGUAUUGUCCUCUGUUGGUAAUAUGGAUACUUUUUGAUACACUAAACAAUUUACAUAUAUGUAUGAAAUAAUCAGCCAGGUAUUCUCUGCUUUAAAAAAAAAAAAAAGUAUUAAACCAUUAUUGGUAAAUAACAGUUACACUACCUACUUGUAACUUCAUAAAACACCUAAUGAGAAUGUUACAUCGGUAGAGUGAAUAAAAAAAAAACAACUUCAAAUUCAGAUAUAAACGUUAUGUAAUAUUUGUUCGGAAUAGAAAUAUUUUUUUCUUCCAAACAAAGAAAUAAAAAGACCAGUCUGCAUAUAUUGUAUAUAUAUAUUACUUUUUUCCCUGUGAUCCGGAUCGCGGCCAUGGGGUUUUCUGAAAGUGUGCACGGGCAACACACGUGUUUCUGUUUCAACGAAAACAACAACACAACAAACGCUUGUAUUGUAUUUUACAUCUUGAAAACGACCUGAUGUCAGAUGAAGAAGUCUGAAGAUACCCUGGAUAUCCUGUUGCAGGAUGACCCAAACGAUCAUGCAUUCAGUAUAGACAUGUAAGUUGAUUUAGCCACAUAGGCCAACUAGAAAAAAAAACGUUCACGGUUAUGUCAUGUUAUGAAAAAUUCACGAUUAAUAUAUUAACCGCGAUUUGAUGCCAUAAUUUGUUGUUUCAUGAAAGAAAAUAUUUAUGUUUUAUGAUAUCUAAACCAAGUGUAUAGCACCCAAUUGUUUAUUAAGAGAUUAACAUAUCUGACAUCAAUUAAUCUGUCAUGGCCCGGCAUUAAUCAGUCUGAUCCCCCCCCCCCCCCCCCCCUUUUGGUAUCUCCUCACUUGACGUGCGAGUGUAAGAAGAGGGUGGAUUUAGUGUACGAUGAGAAAAGGGUGGGAUGGUUUUAAUCAGACUGGGCAUUCAUGACCAUUGGUGCGGAGGCUACUUUCCAAGAUUUUCUAUGUUUAUAAAAAAAAUUAGCUUUCUAUGAAAAGAAAACACAAUCUGUUAGGAAAACAUAUAUUCCAUUAUUGUAUUAUCAUAAUAAUAGAAUUUAUUACCGUAAUUUGAGGUUUUUCUUCAUAUUGUAACAGAAAUAAAAACAAAAUGUGUGUUUGGGACAAAAGGUGUGUGCGUGUGGGGAGGUAACAUCAAUCAAAAUCUGGUUAUGACAGGCUAUUGAAAAAGCAUUUAAUUAUAUGAUCCAUACAUGCUGGUGUGCUAUGAGCUGAUGGGCAUGUGCCCACUUCUUGAUUAGAUUUUCUCUAAUUUCGACUAAAUCCCCACCCCAUCAGAGUACCAUGCCAGGGAAUUUAGACACUGUGUACAAUGAAGAACCAAUUCAAUUCUGCUUUAAAUCUGGGGCCAUUCAAUUUCCCUCAGAGUCACAAUAUUUUCGCUGGACACUGUAUGUUUUAACCUGAAUUUCUUCAGUAUUUGCUCCCAUGUAUAUGUUGGGCAUAAUGCUAAUUAACACCUCCAUGAUGCAUAGGUUUUUUUUCCAAUACGCACUCUGCUACACUCGCAAAGUAUAAUGAAAUAUUCCAUUCAUUUGAUUUCUAACAUAUGUAUGUAAUCCCUUACCAAAUAGCACUUCAAAUAUAGGACAUCUCUAUCUUUAAAUAAAUAUGACCAGUACUUUCGUGCAAAACUGUCCCUUACUAUCAUAAAGCUUAUAUUCUGCUUUAAAACACAAACCAAUAAUUCUUAAUUGUAUUUUUUCAUCUUUAAAAAGGUUAUUGACAUCCCAAUAUUUAGUGGGAAGCUUCCAGGUAUCUUCCACUAGUGACAGUCUACUGGCAAAUCCAGACAUGCAUUGGAAGUAUGUUGAUGUGGAGGACACAGGGACACCUGAUCCAAGAACUGUGGCAUUUCAUUCGGAGUGACAACCUGGCAUUCACUUGAUAUGGGACCUGAUUAUUCAGAGAAUUGCAGAUUUUAUGAAGCUGUUUUUGACAGAAGAUUUGGUUUUCUCCAUCUGUGUUGCCACCAACCAUUAUGCUGUGAUGGUCAUAUCUAGGGGGAAGGAUUGUCAUAUGCUUCCCGAGGAAGUUCGAAGCCUCUCACUGAAGAGGAACUGUACAGAUUUUUGGGCAUUAUCUUAUACAUGUCUGCUGAGAAGUUCCAGUCGAUAGACAGAUAUUGGUCAACGCAUGCCCCUAUCGGAACAACCUAGUAUCAAGAAUUAUGUCUAGAAAUAUGUUUUAAGAGGUUGAAUUUAAGAAGAACAAUUUUUAUUAAAUAUAAUGCAAGUACAUUUAAAUUUAGUGAUUGAAAGUAAGUACUUGAACAUUCGUAUACAUGUACAAUGAACUUGGGGAGAAAAAACGGGCAUUAUUUUCGCAUAGCAUUUGAUAUCAUAAUGGUGUUGUUGCUUAGCAACCAAAUAUAUUUGAAUAUAAAAAAAAAAGAUUAUUUUAGAUUUUAACAGGAAAGAUCUUUGUUUUAAUGUUGCAAUAUUUAUACUAUUUAGUGGGAUACAAUGACAAAACGUCAUAUUAUUAGAAAAUGAUGAAUAUGUAUAUGAAGUAUGAAAUUUCCAUUUUAUGACCUUUGACCUUAAUGUAAAACUUAUACGGUACCAAUUUUGAUGCACCAGAUGCGCAUUUUGACAAAUAAUGUCUCUUCAGUGAUGCUCAACCGAAAUGUUUGAAAUCCGAAAUAACUAGGAAGUUUUAGAGCUAAAUAUAGCCAAAAACAGCGUGCCAAAAAAAUGGAGCCAAAUUCGUCCAAGGAUAAGAGCUAUACAUGAGGGAGAUACAAUCCUUAAUUUUGAAAUGAAUUUCUAAAUUUUAUAACAGCAAUUAAAUAUACAUCCGUAUUUUCAAGCUAGUAACGAAGUACUUAGCUACUGGGCUGUAGAGACCCUCGGGGACUAACAGUCCACCAGCAGAGGCCUCGACCCAGGGGUCUUAAUUCUCUUCAUUAUAUUUUUUGUUAAAAACCUUUUAAAAUGAUUAAGAUCUAGUCAAAGAUUAUAUUUUUUAAAUAAUGUGACAUUUACUAAUCAUCAUGCAAUGUAAUUAUGUUUGAAUUGUGUCGAAUGGAUGUAGAAAGGCAAAUUAUGGUCAAAUUUACACCAUGAGUGUUGUUACUUAGCAACCAAAAAUAUUUGUUUGUCAAUAAAAUUGAUUAAUUUGAUUGUGAUGUUUUUGUAGUAUUUUAAAAGACACAUCAGCUCAUACAUUUAGAAUUUCCUAUUUUUGACUCGAAUCUAGUGAGAGGGGUCGUAAUAUAUAUACUCCAGAGAAAAAAAGAUUGCAAAAAUGUGCACUUAAAUGACUAUGACCCCGUAGAACUCUUUGGGGUCAUGGGAUAACAAGACAAACUUUAUGAAAAAAAUGUUCUCUGUCCAAUUCGUAACAAAAUUAUAUGUCACAUGCCUACCUAAAAUCGUGAUACAUGCAGAUGUAACUCGAUUUAAAAAUAUUGUCAUUUAGUCUUUAAAAACCUUUAAAAUGUGCCGGUAGAGAAAGGGUUAACAGAGUUCAUGAAAUUUCUUUUGAAGUGUCGGACAUUUGGUCUGACACUAUUAGAAAUAGUGUCAGCCCAAACAAAAUUUUGUCAGUCCAGAUAAAAAUGCAUCGCUUUUGAGGUUUUCAUAAAUUUUAUUUAAAAUCGACUACAUGUGUAAUUGUAUUCAAUCUCCAUCUCAGCCAUAAGUUUAUAAAUUAUCUUUUCAUACCCUUUCUCAUCUUCCUUACACUCUGAAUGAAUCUUCCUCACUU